UUUUUAUUUCACAAAUCUUUAAUUCCAAGUAAUAUUUUCUAAUUUAAGAAAUUCAUAAAGCAAUCAACAGAACAAGAUAUAAUGGGAUAUGAUAGUGUAAUAGCCACAAUUUAUUUUUAUUUUUAAAUCGGAUUUCUAUAUAAAUUUUUAGUAACUUUUUCAGAAAAUGUUAACAUUUCAGUUUAUGGUAGCUAUAGUCUAUAAUUAUUUCCUACUAAGCUUUAAGCUUUUUUAAAAAAAUGUGUAGAAUGUAUCUAUUUAUCUCAUUCAGAGGUUUCCAACCAAACCUAUUCUGUUUCGUUCUAAUCAGUCAAGCUAUAUAUUCGUUUAAAUUAAAUGCUGUAGUAAGUCUUCCUUAUAGCUUCUUCGUAUUACGACUCUUAACCGUAUAACUAAUUUUAUCUCCUUUUUGGUUUUCCUUUUCUUAUCAUUUUGGAUCCACGUUCAUAACAUCAGGCAAAAAUAUUAUUACCUCAGUCUUUACCUUUUUUCACUGUAGAAUGUUCUCUC